rnacentral:rRNA from 1 species
GACGAACGCUGGCGGCGUGCUUAACACAUGCAAGUCGAACGGAAAGGCCCUGCCUUUGUGGGGUGCUCGAGUGGCGAACGGGUGAGUAACACGUGAGUAACCUGCCCUUGACUUCGGGAUAAGUUCAGGAAACUGGGGCUAAUACCGGAUAGGAGCACCUGCUGCAUGGUGUGGGUUAGAGAGUUUCGGCGGUGGGGGAUGGACUCGCGGCUUAUCAGCUUGUUGGUGGGGUAGUGGCUUACCAAGGCUUUGACGGGUAGCCGGCCUGAGAGGGUGACCGGCCACAUUGGGACUGAGAUACGGCCCAGACUCCUACGGGAGGCAGCAGUGGGGAAUAUUGCACAAUGGGCGGAAGCCUGAUGCAGCAACGCCGCGUGCGGGAUGACGGCCUUCGGGUUGUAAACUGCUUUCGCCAGGGACGAAGCGUGAGUGACGGUAAUGGGUGAAGAAGCACCGGCUAACUACGUG